rnacentral:rRNA from 1 species
GAUGAACGCUGGCGGCGUGCCUAAUACAUGCAAGUCGAGCGAACAGACGAGGAGCUUGCUCCUCUGACGUUAGCGGCGGACGGGUGAGUAACACGUGGAUAACCUACCUAUAAGACUGGGAUAACUUCGGGAAACCGGAGCUAAUACCGGAUAAUAUAUUGAACCGCAUGGUUCAAUAGUGAAAGACGGUUUUGCUGUCACUUAUAGAUGGAUCCGCGCCGCAUUAGCUAGUUGGUAAGGUAACGGCUUACCAAGGCAACGAUGCGUAGCCGACCUGAGAGGGUGAUCGGCCCCACUGGACCUGAGACACGGUCCAGACUCCUACGGGAGGCAGCAGUAGGGAAUCUUCCGCAAUGGGCGAAAGCUUGACGGAGCAACGCCGCGUGAGUGAUGAGGUCUUCGGAUCGUAAAACUCUGUUAUUAGGGAAGAACAAAUGUGUAAGUAACUAUGCACGUCUUGACGGUACCUAAUCAGAAAGCCACGGCUAACUACGUG